rnacentral:rRNA from 1 species
GAGUGGCGCACGGGUGAGUAAUACAUGGGAACGUGCCUCUGAAUGGGGGAUAACUACGGGAAACUGUAGCUAAUACCGCAUAGAAACGAGAGUUUAAAGCUGGCCUCUAUUUAUAAGCUAGUGUUCAGAGAUCGGCCCAUGUCCCAUUAGCUAGUUGGCGGGGUAAAAGCCCACCAAGGCGACGAUGGGUAGCUGGUCUGAGAGGACGAUCAGCCACACUGGAACUGAGACACGGUCCAGACUCCUACGGGAGGCAGCAGUGGGGAAUUUUGCACAAUGGGGGAAACCCUGAUGCAGCAAUGCCGCGUGAGUGAAGAAGGCCUUUGGGUUGUAAAGCUCUUUCGGCUGAGAAGAAGGGCUAUAUGGCUAAUAUCCAUGUAGUUUGACGGUAUCAGAAGAAGAAGCACCUGCUUAACUUCGUGCCAGCAGCAGCGGUAAUACGAAGGGUGCAAGCGUUGUUCGGAAUUACUGGGCGUAAAGGGCGCGCUAGGCGGGUUUGUAAGUCGAAUGUGAAAUCCCCGGGCUUAACCCGGGACGUGCAUUCGAUACUGCUAAUCUUGAAUGCUUGAGAGGGUGGCGGAAUUCC